rnacentral:rRNA from 1 species
CCUACGGGUGGCAGCAGUGAGGAAUAUUGGUCAAUGGUCGUAAGACUGAACCAGCCAAGUAGCGUGCAGGAUGACGGCCCUAUGGGUUGUAAACUGCGUUUAUGCGGAGCUAAAAUGCGUCACGUGUGAUGUUUUGUAGGUACCGCAUGAAUAAGGACCGGCUAAUUCCGUGCCAGCAGACGCGGUAAGACGGAAGGUCCGAGCGUGCUCCGGAUUUAUUGGGUUGAAAGGGAGCGUAGGCCGCAUGUUAAGCGUGCCGUGAAAUGCCGUGGCUAAACCAUGGCACUGCGGCGAGAACUGGCAUGCUUGAGUGCGCGGGACGUAUGCGGAAUUCGUGGUGUAGCGGUGAAAUGCUUAGAUAUCACGAAGAACACCGAUUGCGAAGGCAGCUUACGGCAGCGCUACUGACGCUGAGGCUCGAAGGCGCGGGUAGCAAACAGGAUUAGAUACCCGAGUAGUC